rnacentral:rRNA from 1 species
UGAGGAAUCUUCCGCAAUGGACGAAAGUCUGACGGAGCGACGCCGCGUGGAGGAUGACGCGUUUACUCGUGUAAACUCCUUUUCUGCGGGAAGAUAAUGACGGUACCGCAGGAAUAAGGGGCGGCAAACUACGUGCCAGCAGCCGCGGUGAUACGUAGGCCCCAAGCGUUAUCCGGAAUUACUGGGCGUAAAGCGUUCGUAGGCGGAUUGGAAAGUCAGAUGUGAAAGACCGGAGCUUAACUCCGAGUUUGCAUCCGAAACUCCCAGUCUUGAAUGAGGGAGAGGUAAGCGGAACGGUAUGAGUAGGGGUGCAAUCCGUUGAUACAUACCAGAACACCAAAAGCGAAGGCAGCUUACUGGAACUCUAUUGACGCUGAGGAACGAAAGCGUGGGGAGCGAA